AAUAUAAUCAAAAUGUCUGAUCCUAGUUCUGGAACUUCUUUUCGAGCCAGAAGGCGAUUAUUUGUUGGUGAUCUGUACAAAGGAGUGUCAAAGGACAAUUUAAGAAUGAAAUUUGAGCCAUUUGGAGAUGUCAACAAUAUACAAAUAAUUGAACGUGUUUGUGCAGAUUAAGAAGAGAGAAGAAAAAUUUUCAAAAUCAAGAUUUAGUCCCACCAAAAAUACUUACAUCAUCCACAAGAAAGAAUCAAUCACCACAAGAGAUUUGCAAGAAGAUUCAAAGUGCGUACUCACCUUGUAUAUACAGAUUGAGUAUUGUGAGAAGAGUACUCUAAGGAAUGUUGUUGAUGAGGGAUAGUACAAGGACCAAAAGAAUGUGGCGGCUUCUCCGUGAGAUUAUAGAAGGAUUAGUUCACAGGUAGAAGAAAUACAUGAAAAUGAUACUUCCGACAGUGAAAGACAAUCAAGCUUGACAGAGGAGAAACAACGAAUCCAGGUUGAAAAUAGCUUGAGGAAAAUUGAACGUAGUUGAAGCACCUAGCGUAUGCUCGAGAGGUUUGGAUGAGGACUCGUGGACCAAUGAAAACAUGAAUGGUUCGAAGCAUGUUUACGACGAUAAAAGUUCUAGCAGAUCACUAUAAAGUCCACGACAAGCAGAAUGUAAACCACAAUAACCUUGUUGUAAUUUAUUGAUGAAAUUCACCACAAUUGUCAUCAUUUCUUCUUCAAAACAAAUCAAUUAGCUUCGAAAGAUUAUAAAUCACCCGUAUAGAAACUGACGUAAAAAGCGUUAUCAUCAACAUAAGCCUCUUAACAAAUCCCAUUAAGAUUUUCGUCGACAAUUUGUCGAUUGCUUUGUAAUCUUAUGUAAAGUUAUGCGUAGCUGAAGACUUCAAUAUAAAACCUACAAGGGAACAAUGUUUCAAAUUGUUUUCAGGAGAUUCUCAAAGUUAAAUGUUGAGCCAGACCUUCUGCAUAAGCUACCAAAAGUUGUAACCGAAGCAAUGCGAUCGUGACCGGGCCUUAAUUCUUUCUUGAAGUUCGUGAAAGUGUUCGCAACAAAUGGUUUAAUAUCUUCAUUCUUCAUUUUGACGCUUUCUCUGAUCCAGAAUUAGUAGAAGAUUUAUGUAUAGCUGUAGAAAAGCUAUUGUAAUGCUGAUAUUUGUUAAUACACUGGAAACUACAAAAA